rnacentral:rRNA from 1 species
AGUGAACGCUGGCGGUAGGCCUAACACAUGCAAGUCGAACGGCAGCACAGUAAGAGCUUGCUCUUACGGGUGGCGAGUGGCGGACGGGUGAGGAAUACAUCGGAAUCUACUUUUUCGUGGGGGAUAACGUAGGGAAACUUACGCUAAUACCGCAUACGACCUACGGGUGAAAGCAGGGGAUCUUUGGACCUUGCGCGAUUGAAUGAGCCGAUGUCGGAUUAGCUAGUUGGCGGGGUAAAGGCCCACCAAGGCGACGAUCCGUAGCUGGUCUGAGAGGAUGAUCAGCCACACUGGAACUGAGACACGGUCCAGACUCCUACGGGAGGCAGCAGUGGGGAAUAUUGGACAAUGGGCGCAAGCCUGAUCCAGCCAUACCGCGUGGGUGAAGAAGGCCUUCGGGUUGUAAAGCCCUUUUGUUGGGAAAGAAAAGCAGCAGGUUAAUACCCCACUGUUCUGACGGUACCCAAAGAAUAAGCACCGGCUAACUUCGUG